GGGGAACGCAGGGAACACCUAGGGCUCACUUCGGCAGCUCAAACACUGAAGUAGGAAAACAUGGAAAGACACGAAGAGGAGAAAAGAGAGAGCUACAUUACGUGGAUGUAAUACAGAAAUGGAACUUUCUGAAUAUGAUGUCAUAAUGUCUGUACAUUAUCCGUUUUACAACUAGCCUGAGACUUCUUCAUCAGCUAUGCGCUGCAGAACAGCAAAGCAAAAAUCUGAACUCAAUCAAAGCUGAAAACUCUAAUCUUAGUAGAGGUGGAUAAAAUAUAGUCCACUUGUUAUAUAUUAUAUUUACUAUUUCUUUUAGCACUAAAAUAAAGCUUAAGUUACA